rnacentral:rRNA from 1 species
CGCUGUUAUCCCUAAGGUAAUUUAGUCUUAUAAUCAUUAAAAAUGGAUCAAAAACUUAUAAAUAAAUAUAAAAAAAAAUAAAAAGAGUUAUAUUAAUCUUCCCAUCACCCCAACAAAAUUUAAAUAAUAUUAAAAUUAUUACCCCACAAAAAAUAAAAAAUUAAAUUAAACUCUAUAGGGUCUUCUCGUCCCAAAAAAUUAUUUAGGCAUUUUAACCUAAAAUUUAAAUUCAACAAAAUAAAAAUUUAAGAAAGUAUAUACCUCGUCAAACCAUUCAUUCCAGCAUUCAAUUAAAAAACUAAUGAUUAUGCUACCUUUGCACAGUCAAAAUACUGCGGCCAUUUAAAAAUCAGUGGGCAGGCAAUACUUCAAAUAAAUUACAAGAAGAGAUGUUUUUGUUAAACAGGCG